rnacentral:tRNA from 1 species
GCGGGUGUGGCGGAACGGCAGACGCGCUAGAUUCAGGGUCUAGUGUCCUUUGUGGACGUGGGGGUUCAAAUCCCUUCACCCGCA